CCAAUAGCGUAUAUUUAAGUUGUUGCAGUUAAAAAGCUCGUAGUUGGAUUUCGGGUGUGAACGACCGGUCCGUCUUUGAUGUGUACUGGUUGGUUGCGCCUUAUCGUCGAGGACGUGGUUCUAGCUUCCAUUAGCCGGGACACGGAGUCGGCAGCGUUACUUUGAGAAAAUUAGAGUGUUCAAAGCAGGCUAUCGCUCUGAAUACAACAGCAUGGAAUAACACGAUAGGACUCCGAGCCUAUUCUGUUGGUCUUCGGGACCGGAGUAAUGAUUAAGAGGGACAGUUGGGGGCAUUCGUAUUCCGAUGUCAGAGGUGAAAUUCUUGGAUUAUCGGAAGACGAACAUCUGCGAAAGCAUUUGCCAAGGAUGUUUUCAUUAA
rnacentral:rRNA from 1 species